rnacentral:lncRNA from 1 species
AUGUAGCCGGGAAUAAAAUUGACCUACAAAUUUUUGGAUAGUCAUCAUCCUUAUUCAUAUCCGUUUGAGAGUGGGUGGGCGCCUGGGCAGCUAUACGAAUUAUCCACAACAUAAUGUUUUUUCCUUUCUAUAUUUAUACUUUUCAAAAUACAAAUAACAUAUAUAUUAUUUUUAAAAUAUUAAAAUUUAACUUAUUAUUUAAAAUAUCACAACUUACAAUAGAUAAUAAAAAAGAAAGAAAAACACUACAAGAAAUUAGUCUUAGGAUUCUAAGAAUGGCUAAAAUAAAAAGAGUAUUUACUAUGUUAUUUUUAAAAAAUUUUAAAAUAAUUAUAUAUGCGGAUAUCCGUGGGUACACGGGGUUGUCCAAAAUGUCCAUAAUUUAACAGAUAUCUACCCAUUUUAUUUAUAAUUUUUUGGAUAAAGAAAACUAAUAUUCGUACCCACAAAUUUACAGAUAAUCUGCUGAUACUUAUAGGUAUAAAUUGAGCUUACCAGGUCCAGGUACAUCCUUGCAUAAUUGCAAAUAUAACAGCUUCUCUAUUAUGCCACUAUAUAAUAAUUGAUUUCCCACCAUCAUAAGACAAAAUCAACUUCACACUGUGCUUUGAAUUUCAUGUAGAACUGAAAAAUGGGUAUCUUAAAAAUUGGGGCCAUCUAUUUAUUUAUUACAUAAUAACACGAGUCCGGUUGGGAUACUAUCGAUAGCACUAAGAAUUUGAUGCUAUCGAGUUUUUCAUCGUUAGAUUUAAUCCUUUGACUAUUUUCACCCGUUAGAUUAUACUAUUCAACCAACAACUCACUCGACCCUAGGGGGUCCACAUCAUCUUAACCGUACAUUUCUUCAUCCAAGGGCCGAAAACCUAAUAGCAUCAACAAUUUGGUGCUAUUGAUAGCAUUCCAGCCUAGUUCAUAAUAACACAAGCAAGAAAGAUAGGAAACUUUUGGGCUAUCUAACCUGGGUUAGUGGGCCCUAUUGGCCCAUUUACAUUUACACAUCUACGAAAAAUUCAAUUAGCUGGAUAUUGUUUGGGUGCAUGUAGUUGCAACUAAUGCAAUUGAACCCAAAUCCAAGUCAAAUAUUUGAUUUGAUGCAUUGAAUUCAACUACUUGCAGCUAGAACUAUAUGAGAAGGCUCAACUGUUCCAACAGUAGCAAUUGGUGAGAGUAAGUUUAAGCAAAAGAUAAGUUUACAUUCCUAAUAACCUUUUAAACAUAAUAUAUAUAGAGUCCGACUGUGGUGCUUGUAAAAGCACCAAGCAUUUGGUACUUGUAAAUUUUUUACCGUUAGAUCUAUAUCUUUGAUCAUUUUCAACCGUUAGAUUAUACUAUUCAACCAACCACUCACUCAACCCUAGGGAGCCCACAUCAUCCUAACCGCACAUCCUUUAAUCCAAUGACCAAAAAUCUAUAAGCACCAAAAACUUGGUACUUCCGGCUGGGAUACUAUCGAUAGCACCAAGCGCUUGAUGCUAUCGAGUUUUCCGCCAUUAGAUUUAAUCCCUUGAAUAUUUUUACCUAUUAGAUUAUACUAUUCAACAAAUAAUUACUCAACCCUAUGGAGCCCACAUCAUCGUAACCGUACGUUUUUUCAUCCAAGGGCCGAAAACGUAAUAGCACUAAGUGCUUGGUGCUAUCCGGCUAUGGUGCUUAUAAAAGCACCAAGCAUUUGCGCUUAUAAAUUUUUUACCGUUGGAUCUAACCCUUU